UUGGCUCUCGCAUCGAUGAAGAACGCAGCGAAAUGCGAUAAGUAAUGUGAAUUGCAGAAUUCAGUGAAUCAUCGAAUCUUUGAACGCACCUUGCGCUCCUUGGUAUUCCGAGGAGCAUGCCUGUUUGAGUGUCAUUAAAUUCUCAACCUUAUCAGCUUUUGUUGAUAAUGGCUUGGAUGUGGGGGUUACUUUGCUGGUUUCUUUAAUGAGAUCAGCUCCCCUU
rnacentral:rRNA from 1 species